ACAUGCCUGGAUCAUAGUGUUAAUGCACCAGAUCCCAUUAGAACUCCACAGUUAAGCGUUCCCAGGCUAGAGUAGUACUGGGAUGGGUGAACGCUCAAGAAGUCCUAGUGUUUUACAUGCC
rnacentral:rRNA from 1 species